CGUCCCUGCCUUGGAGUCUGAGAUGGUCUCUCCACGGGACUUCAGACUAUUCUUGCUUGGACCCUGGGUAGAUUGCAGGGUGCUAAAACAAGGAGCCGGACACUUCGGGGUCCCACUCUAGCUUCGUGACCUCCCCCAGGGACCCCUACCUCAGGAGCCCCUUUCCCCAGGAAAGGCUCCGGAAGUGAUGGGCCUGCGAGGGGCAGUAUAGCCUCCCGCCGCCUCAGAGGCGCAGGGGAGACCAAGCCACGGACCGCAGGGGGCGCUCGGAGCACGCGCAGUGCCAAGUGAAGGAGCCCAGAGCCACCGGGGCGAGUCCGGGGCCCCAGGACACGGGACUUGGCUGGGGCUGCGUCCCCAGCCCGGGAGCCCCAGCCCAGUGCUGCCGAGUGGCCUCUGGACUUCCCACACUUCUUCCCUGCUCUGCGUUCGCGGGGGAAAAGGCGGGAAGUCUGUGGAAGGAGGAAGGGGAGCCCGAACCCCGGGCCACCGCUUCCAACCGCAGGCGCACGCCAGCACAGCCGCCCUCCCCGGAGGCCGAUUGCUCCGAUCCAGCAAGUAUUUUUCUGCUGAGGAGGGAGCAGAAUUAGAGGUACUGCGUUAACUCAAUCUCUUCUCAGAAGCCCCCCAACUAAGAGGGAAGAAGGAAGAAACCCGCUGAGUCUCGGCAACCCAGACAUUCGGUCCCCGCCUCCUCCCUCAGCUGAAAAGUCACAUUGAAGACCAAGGCUACCUUCGGAGCUGAAGGACCUUCAGGCUGCAACUAUGGGAGGUGUCAGAAAAGAAGCCCAAGGUUUCCUGCGGGGGCAUGUCUGCCAAUUGAGUCAGUAGUUGUCCGGAAGACGGAUGAUUGAACUACCCCGAGGAGCAGCAAAAACGGGGCAAUCAAAAACUUUAAACUGAAAAAUAAAAACUUUACCCAUUCCCCCAAAGACUUUAUUUCUGUGCCUUAACAUUAAAACAA